UACGUAGGUGGCAAGCGUUGUCCGGAUUUAUCGGGUUUAAAGGGUGCGUAGGUGGUCUAUUAAGUCAGUGCUGAAAUAUCCCGGCUUAACCGGGAGGGUGGCAUUGAUACUGAUGGACUUGAGUAAAGUUGAGGUUGGCGGAAUUGACGGUGUAGCGGUGAAAUGCUUAGAUAUCGUCAAGAACACCUAUUGCGAAGGCAGCUAACUAAGCUUUAACUGACACUGAGGCACGAAAGUGUGGGGAUCAAACAGG
rnacentral:rRNA from 1 species